AUUGAACGCUGGCGGCAUGCCUUACACAUGCAAGUCGAACGGCAGCACGGGAGCAAUCCUGGUGGCGAGUGGCGAACGGGUGAGUAAAGUAUCGGAACGUGCCCAGUCGUGGGGGAUAACGUAGCGAAAGUUACGCUAAUACCGCAUACGGUCUAUGGAUGAAAGCGGGGGAUCGCAAGACCUCGCGCGAUUGGAGCGGCCGAUAUCAGAUUAGGUAGUUGGUGGGGUAAAGGCUCACCAAGCCGACGAUCUGUAGCUGGUCUGAGAGGACGACCAGCCACACUGGGACUGAGACACGGCCCAGACUCCUACGGGAGGCAGCAGUGGGGAAUGUUGGACAAUGGGCGCAAGCCUGAUCCAGCCAUGCCGCGUGCAGGAUGAAGGCCUUCGGGUUGUAAACUGCUUUUGUACGGAACGAAAAGGUUUGACUUAAUACGUUGGACUCAUGACGGUACCGUAAGAAUAAGCACCGGCUAACUACGUGCCAGCCGCCGCGGUAAGAC
rnacentral:rRNA from 1 species